UUUUGCCAAUGGUUCAAGCAUUCUCUGGGCCCUGAGUAAUGAUGACAUGUAUAACAUGUAUGACAUGUAUAACAUGUAUAACAGGGGCUAAUUGAUGUUGUUUAAUAAAGAUGAGACUUAUUCUACAUUAUAGUGGCUGUACAAUCAAGGUCCAUGAAAGAUCUGAAUAUACUACACAUAUAGGGGUGCUAGUCACUAAAAUGUGCUUACAGGAAAAAUCCAAUUUCCUGCCAUAAUUAUUGCUAGAAAAAGAAUUCAUUAGAACAGCCUUGUGAAGGCAGUACUUGCCAUCACACCAUGAGUGCAGGCAGCCUCAAGUUUUGGAGACACUGAAUGCCCCCACCAAAGGCAGCGUAAUUCCUGCAUCAAUAUAUUAUAUUCAUCCCCUGGACUCAUCUAUCUAAUGUGAAUUCAAUUUAGAGGAUGCUGCCAGACAGAAUUAAAUAUAUUAGUUUGAAAAAUCACAGAGGAAGUGUGUUUAUAGCUGUUCCAUUUGAUUGAAUCAAUUUUCUAAGUGUUUAUCUUUUAAGAGUCCUAGAAAUCUUGCUUAUAGGGUGUGCCUCCAAGACAGACAUUGUGUUCCCAUCUGCUAUAAGAAAGAACCCCAGAAUGUUUUAUUU
rnacentral:lncRNA from 1 species